CAAUAGCGUAUAUUAAAGUUGUUGCAGUUAAAAAGCUCGUAGUUGGAUUUCUGGUGGGAGCGAUCGGUCUGGCGCUUAGCGCGAGUACUUGCAUCGUCUCCGGCCAUCCUUGGGGAGAGUCUGUCUGGCAUUAAGUUGUCGGGCAGAGGAUCCUCAUCGUUUACUGUGAAAAAAUUAGAGUGUUCAAAGCAGGCUUAUGCCGUUGAAUAUAUUAGCAUGGAAUAAUAAGAUAGGACUUUGGUACUAUUUUGUUGGUUUGCGCACCAAAGUAAUGAUUAAUAGGGACAGUUGGGGGUAUUCGUAUUCCGUUGUCAGAGGUGAAAUUCUUGGAUUUAUGAAAGACGAACUACUGCGAAAGCAUUUGCCAAGGAUGUUUUCAUUAA
rnacentral:rRNA from 1 species